GGGGGAGGGGUGGCAGCUUGGGCAGCCAAGGGGCCCCGUCUCCUACAAACCUCCUGCACACCUGGGGAAGGCAGCAGCUCUGGGGUCUGCAGGGGGGCACCUCAUGGUUCCCAACUCUCCUAGAAGCAAAAAGGGAUUCAAAGAGGCCCACUUGAUAACCUGUCAGGCUGCAUAGCAGUGAGGCUUCCUCCUUUACACCGAUGUCGGGGAAAAGAAAACUACCUGGCAAGUUAGGAUACAGCAGGAACGGUCUCCAAGACAGCCAUUGAAAAUGCUCCCAAAUGCUGGAGACCUCAGCUCCUGCACAAAGACAAAACCACAGAGGAAAGCACUCAGAAAGGAGCAGGAUGAGGGAAUGCAAAGAAAAGGCAAAUGAGGGAAGCGUUGAAAGAUACAGGAUAUUAAAGAUGAGAAAGGCCUUGGAGAUGAUCAAAUCCAAUCCCUUUAUUUUCUAAAGAAACUGAGGCUCGGAAUAAUUGACCUGACAGAUAGAAACUGAUGGAAAAUUUUAGUUCUGUUACUUACUUGCUGUGAGACCAUUUUGAAAAUAGACAUCAUAUCCUGUUUUAAUUACCCUAGACUUCAGAAAUAAGCAUUCCAAGAUAAACCUAUCUGUAUCUGGGGGAAUAAGAGUAGGCUCAGUUGACAGAAGACAAUAGGAAAAGUAACACAUAAAGAUGUCACCAGAAGACAAAGCUCUGGAUUUAAGAUUUGGAAGUUGGAAAAACUCUUGGAAGCUUAGCAAAAUUGUAUAUAACCAGGCCCAUAUGAAAUGGAGUGCUGUUGCAAGUUACUGUGCUGAGGAAGUUGAGGCUCUAAGACCAAAAUGUUGGCAAAUGGCUUGGAUUUGGAAUAAUGAAGAAGAGAGGCCAAGAGCCAAUCCUAAAGUAAUGACAGGAAGUUGGUGGGUGUCCCAGAGAGAGGUCACUUCUGGUAAGGAGCAUAGGGAGAGAAUGGAGGCAGAGGAGUCCUGUAAACUAAAAUCCAGUGAUUUGGGAAUAAAAUGAGCCUCCCAGUUUGUUUGAAUAAAGUACUUGAAUCCAAACCAACAUUUUCUUGCUCCCAAUGCAUAUAUCAGGAUAAAACAUUUUGACACAUCGUAAAAUGCAUAUAAUUCAUAGAUACAAUACUUUACACAAGAAUAUAACACAUCAUAUUGUUCAGAUACUCAUAUGCCUAGUGCUAGGCAUUCAAAAAUAUUUGUUGAAUAAAUGAAAACUCCCAGCUCUGCCACUUACUUAAUUAACCACAAAAAAAAUUGUGUCGUCAGUAAAAUGGAUAUGGUGAUACACACCUCGUGGAGUGAGAUAAUAUACAUGAAGUACCCGGAACAUAUUAAGCAUUUGAUAAAUAAUAGCUGUUAUUGUUGUUUUAAGUAUGGGUCAAACAUUGUUGUAAAUGCUUUAUAAGAAUUUAAAAUUUAUACCACAGAAAACAUUUUCUAUGUCCUGUGAGAAAUAUGUAUGUUUUGUAUUUUAAAGAGAAAAAUGUGUUUAAAUAACCAGUCAAGUGUCUGAUACACAUCAUCUUGACUGUAUAUUAGAUUAAUUCAUCUAUAAUUAAUAUGUUAGUCAUUUCCAAGACCAAUGUAGUUGUCUACCACUUCCUAGCACACCUGGGCUGCACAAAUAUGUGGGUCUGAUAUAAUGUCAGAAAUGCAGGAAGCUAUAUGAGAUUCCAGCCCUCUAUUUUUCCAAGUGUAAAAGAACUUAUGAAUCAAGAGCCGAAUAAAAAACAUAGUACUCUUUCUGAUAAUCUGUCAACAAAUUUGCAAUCAUGUCAGGCAUGUUAUAUGAUUACGAAUUGCUCAAUGCUAUUAUGAAAAGUAUUUUCAACAAGUGAAACUUCUGGAGUUCUCUGCAGUUCUGGGAUCAAACCUCAGUGCCUUGUCCUAACGUCCCAUUAGGACAGAAGUGCCCUUCCUGAGAGUAUGGCAGCAUAAUGACAUUCUAGCACCUGGACCGAUUACACUGCUCUCCCUGAAGUAGUGGAUUCUUUCAUCAGCAGGAGAGAGAAGGGUGAAUUGUAUAAAGUGGAGCCUGACAGUGUGUAUUUUAUUCUUUAAAAUAAAAAAAUUAAGAAC
rnacentral:lncRNA from 1 species